ACCCCAGUGGUGCAAAUGGUUAAAGCUUGGCUGUAAACCGAAAGGUUGGUGGUUCAAAUCCACCCAGAGGUG
rnacentral:tRNA from 1 species